CCAAAACAAUCAUCCCCCAAAACCCCCAAACAAAACACACACGAAGAGGGCACAGUAUCCUCAUUUAUCAAGUGGGAAAAUGAAGGCCACAGAGUUUCCAUAAUUCCCUUGAGUUCCUACAGCUAAGUGGCAAAUCUGGUGUUUAGAACCAGCCCAUCUGGCAGGUGAGCAACAUUCUUCGCUGCCAACUACACUCCACUACCAACUGACUCAGUUAUUCAUUUCGUCCUCAUAGCACCUGACAGGCAGGUGUCAUUUCCCACGCACUAAUUUCCUUUUCUCUGCUUAGAUGAGGAAACUGACCUGCUUGUAAUGUUUAAAUAAUUUGGUAACCACCAUCCAGUGACUUGGUGGCAAGCCAGCCAGGGAUCCAAAGCUCGUGGUAGACUGUUUUCACUUCUCCAGGCUUUAGUGGUGUGAGCCAAAGCUGGAUCUCUGCGACAGAGCCUCCCACUCGCAGGUCUCACCUGAGGCUCUGCUGGGUCCCGGCAGAGCCACACACGGCCUCCUGGCGGCAGGUGGGCGCAAGGGCAGCGCAUGCUAAUGAGCCCUCAACGUUGCUCGCUGAUUGGCUGGCGCUGAUUCCAGCUACUUUUCCCAGGGGCAUGAGCGCUACAAGAAUAAAGGGGCGCCGCAAGCACUGCCGCCCCCACCCCGCGCCUUUCAGUCCCCCCAUCUCCCCUUAGACUUAAGGGUGUGAGGGAAGCACGAGGGCUCUUUCGCUUGCAAGAUUGUCCUUUUCUCUCCCUUUUGCAUUCUGGUUCUGAAUUUAUCCAGGAUCCAGGAUGACAAUCCAACACCAAGGCCAGCACUACUGGCCGAGGAUGGCAUUUCUCCCGAAGGUUUCUGUGCUGGCCUGUUGAUCCUGAAGAAUCAGCACUGCUUGUGCAGAGUGCUGGAGGGUGCAGAGCCUGUUGCCAGGAACUUCCUCCUCUCUCGGGUGGGACUGUUCUGGAGGUGUUCCACACUGUUUCUCCCAGAGGCUCUGCUCACUCAGGACUCCAGUGGUCCAAAGAAUGAAUCUGGAUUGUCCUCCUUUCUUCCCCUUGCUCACUUCCCCCAGACCUCUGCUGCCACUUCUCAGGAUCAAUCCUUCCACUAACACUAGGAGAUUAUUAUUCACAUUUUACAGGUAAGGAAAUUGAGAACCAACACUGGAAGGUUGUGAGACAGUGACACUGGUCUCACUGCAAUGGGAGAAACAUACAGUACAGUGGGCAGUGGGAAGGUGCUUCUACAAUUCCCCAUAAAGAGUAUGGGGAGAGAACCUUGAAGCUGAGACUGAAGGAUGCUGGGCUUCUGCAAAGAAAGGGCAGAAGGAAGACCCAGGCAGCUGAGGGCAGAAGUAUGUGCCAGAGUAGAGGUCUGUGCCAGUGUGUUGUGUUUGAAGCAAGUUGUUCACUGUUGCUUAACAAAGGUGGAUCAUGAAGAUCUCCUUAGACCUAUGCCUUUCAAAGUUCAUCCGAUUUUUCCCAGAAGAAGCCAUUCAAGACUUUGGAGCAGAGGGAAAGGAAUGAAGCUGCUGAUAUUUUCAUCAGAUAAGUUUCCAUUUCAAACUAGCAGAACAGGUAAAACUCCUCUAUCCACUGCUCAGCUCCCUGAUUCCCUAAGAAGAAGGUCAUUUCACCCAGUGAGAACAAGUGUGUGAGCCAAGCAAGUGUCCGUGCAGAUGACGCCAGCCCGCAGUCAGUCUUGCUGGCUGAAUGCUAGCGUUGUGCCCUGAGUGACCCUGACCAUGCUCCUGAUGGUAGCUGUCCCUUGAGACGGUGAUUCAGCUGCAAACUCUGGUUCAGCAACAGAUUGAAAGAGGACAUCCCUGCUGUCAGGUUGACUCAGGACACUGUCCCACACUCCUUCCCUCCUUGGGGAGCUGGGAAC